GAUGAACGCUGGCGGCGUGCCUAAUACAUGCAAGUCGAGCGAACAGAUGAGGAGCUUGCUCCUCUGACGUUAGCGGCGGACGGGUGAGUAACACGUGGAUAACCUACCUAUAAGACUGGGAUAACUUCGGGAAACCGGCGCUAAUACCGGAUAAUCUAUUGAACCGCAUGGUUCAAUAGUGAAAGACGGUUUUGCUGUCACUUAUAGAUGGAUCCGCGCCGCAUUAGCUAGUUGGUAAGGUAACGGCUUACCAAGGCAACGAUGCGUAGCCGACCUGAGAGGGUGAUAGGCCACGCUAGAACUGAGACACGGUCCAGACUACUACGGGAGGCAGCAGUAGGGAAUCUUCCGCAAUGGGCGAAAAUCUGAAGGAGAAGCCCGGCGUGAGUGAUAAAGGUCUUCGGAUCGUAAAACUCUGUUAUUAGGGAAGAACAAAUGUGUAAGUAACUAUGCACGUCUUGACGGUACCUAAUCAGAAAGCAACGGCUAACUACGUG
rnacentral:rRNA from 1 species